rnacentral:ncRNA from 1 species
AAAACACUUGUGGGCCAGAUUGUCAUUUCUGCUGGCAUAGCCUCUACUGAAAAUAGCAAUACCAUUAAUAAUAAUUAAUAAACCUCCAAACUUUAGGGUACUCAUUGAGAAGUUUGUCUAAUACACUUCAUGGAAGAGAUUACUCUGGAAAAAUUAGUGUUCAAAGCUGGCAGGCUAAUGGAAUAUUCCAGCCAGGAGUAAUGGAGUAAGACUCCUUUUAUGUUGGUUUAUUUUUGGAAAUGGGACCACUAUUAAGAGGGAUGGCUGGGGGCAUUCAUAUUAUACCACUAGCACUGAAAUUCUUGUAGUCGUGCAAGGUGAACUGAAGUGAAAGCAUUUGCCAAUAAUGUUUUCAUUAAUCAAGAAUGAACGUUGGAGGCUCAAAGACAACUCACUAUCUGGUGGCAUUAUUCCCAUAACACGCCAAGCAGCUCAAGGAAACCCAAGCCUUUAGGUU